UACGAUGAAGAGUUUGAUCCUGGCUCAGGAUGAACGCUAGCGGCAGGCUUAACACAUGCAAGUCGAGGGGUAUAAGUCUUCGGAUUUAGAGACCGGCGCACGGGUGCGUAACGCGUAUGCAAUCUACCUUUUACAGAGGGAUAGCCCAGAGAAAUUUGGAUUAAUACCUCAUAGUAUAUUGAGUUGGCAUCAACACAAUAUUAAAGUUACAACGGUAAAAGAUGAGCAUGCGUCCCAUUAGCUAGUUGGUAAGGUAACGGCUUACCAAGGCUACGAUGGGUAGGG
rnacentral:rRNA from 1 species